AAUGGGGUCAAUUGCUACAAGAAUUAAAAAUAAUAAAGUAGCCAGAGCAAUUGUAUUGUAGCUUGUAUGAUUAGGGUGUCUCCCUUCAUCUCACAUCUUUUGUCAGAGAGAGGAUGAUAGAGAUAAUUCAUGGAUCAAGAUUAUUCACCUUGGCCAUGCUUUCCUAUAUUAUUAAGCUUGUAUACAUAGAACACUCAGUUGCUAGCUUAUCCCAACUGGAAAGCAAAUGCCAAGCAUGAGCACACAAUGAAACAAAAAAAUGGGAGCCCAAUAGUUUUCAAACUCUUUUAAUGCCUUAGUACGAAAAUUCUCGCAUUUUAUCUUGGUAUCUAGAUAUGAUAAGGAUGCUUCCACCAAUGCAAAUAAGUCUUCUCAUAAUGUAAAAGAAAAUCAUAAUCAAGUAAAACCUAAUGCAACAUAUCUAGUGAUCAUUUUCUUGAAUUCUACUGCAUUUCAUGGAUUCAUUAUACAGAAUUUAUAUUGCUUCAAACAACUAACGCAGAGAAUUAAGCCUUUUGUAAACCUUUGAAGGGUGAAAAUAAUUGAAUGUAAAAUACUAACCAUUCUCUUCAUGAUUUCU
rnacentral:misc_RNA from 1 species